UACGGAGGAUGCGAGCGUUAUCCGGAUUUAUUGGGUUUAAAGGGUGCGUAGGUUGUUUUUUAAGUCAGCGGUGAAAGUUUGUGGCUCAACCAUAAAAUUGCCGUUGAAACUGGAAGACUUGAGUGUGUUUGAGGUAGGCGGAAUGCGUGGUGUAGCGGUGAAAUGCUUAGAUAUCAUGAAGAACUCCGAUCGCGAAGGCAGCGUACCGGCUCCACACUGACGCUGAGGCACGAAAGCGUGGGUAUCGAACAGG
rnacentral:rRNA from 1 species